AUUGAACGCUGGCGGCAUGCUUUACACAUGCAAGUCGAACGGCAGCGCGGGCUUCGGCCUGGCGGCGAGUGGCGAACGGGUGAGUAAUGCAUCGGAACGUGCCCAGUAGUGGGGGAUAGCCCGGCGAAAGCCGGAUUAAUACCGCAUACGACCUGAGGGUGAAAGCGGGGGACCGAAAGGCCUCGCGCUAUUGGAGCGGCCGAUGUCGGAUUAGCUAGUUGGUGGGGUAAAGGCUUACCAAGGCGACGAUCCGUAGCUGGUCUGAGAGGACGACCAGCCACACUGGGACUGAGACACGGCCCAGACUCCUACGGGAGGCAGCAGUGGGGAAUUUUGGACAAUGGGGGCAACCCUGAUCCAGCCAUGCCGCGUGCGGGAAGAAGGCCUUCGGGUUGUAAACCGCUUUUGUUCGGGAAGAAAUCCUCUGGGCUAAUACCCCGGGGGGAUGACGGUACCGGAAGAAUAGCACCGGCUAACUACGUG
rnacentral:rRNA from 1 species